CCUACGGGGGGCUGCAGUCGAGAAUUUUUCUCAAUGGGGGAAACCCUGAAGGAGCGACGCCGCGUGGAGGAUGAAGGUCUUCGGAUUGUAAACUCCUGUCAUUUGGGAACAAAGCCCGCAAGGGUGUGAUAGUACCAGAAGAGGAAGAGACGGCUAACUCUGUGCCAGCAGCCGCGGUAAUACAGAGGUCUCUAGCGUUGUUCGGAUUCAUUGGGCGUAAAGGGUGCGUAGGCGGCAUUGUAAGUCGGAUGUGAAAUCUUGGGGCUCAACCCCAA
rnacentral:rRNA from 1 species